AGUUAUGUUUCGGUGAAUGCCUCCACAUUUCUGAGCUUCACAGGUUCUUUAUUCCUUUACUUGUUUAUCCUCUGAGCACACGCUCGGGUAGCUGCUUCUCCUGGUGGUUCUGACUCAUGGCACCUCUGGAUCACGCUGCUCUCUCUGCUCUACAGGGCUGGGGAACAGCCAACAACCCUUCAGAGACACCCGGACUGUUUGAGAGUCAUCCCAUCUGUUGCCCACCUGAACCAAGAACCAAAUCCUAG
rnacentral:lncRNA from 1 species